ensembl:lncRNA MEG3 maternally expressed 3
GCAGACGGCGGAGAGCAGAGAGGGAGCGCGCCUUGGCUCGCUGGCCUUGGCGGCGGCUCCUCAGGAGAGCUGGGGCGCCCACGAGAGGAUCCCUCACCCGGGUCUCUCCUCAGGGAUGACAUCAUCCGUCCACCUCCUUGUCUUCAAGGACCACCUCCUCUCCAUGCUGAGCUGCUGCCAAGGGGCCUGCUGCCCAUCUACACCUCACGAGGGCACUAGGAGCACGGUUUCCUGGAUCCCACCAACAUACAAAGCAGCCACUCACUGACCCCCAGGACCAGGAUGGCAAAGGAUGAAGAGGACCGGAACUGACCAGCCAGCUGUCCCUCUUACCUAAAGACUUAAACCAAUGCCCUAGUGAGGGGGCAUUGGGCAUUAAGCCCUGACCUUUGCUAUGCUCAUACUUUGACUCUAUGAGUACUUUCCUAUAAGUCUUUGCUUGUGUUCACCUGCUAGCAAACUGGAGUGUUUCCCUCCCCAAGGGGGUGUCAGUCUUUGUCGACUGACUCUGUCAUCACCCUUAUGAUGUCCUGAAUGGAAGGAUCCCUUUGGGAAAUUCUCAGGAGGGGGACCUGGGCCAAGGGCUUGGCCAGCAUCCUGCUGGCAACUCCAAGGCCCUGGGUGGGCUUCUGGAAUGAGCAUGCUACUGAAUCACCAAAGGCACGCCCGACCUCUCUGAAGAUCUUCCUAUCCUUUUCUGGGGGAAUGGGGUCGAUGAGAGCAACCUCCUAGGGUUGUUGUGAGAAUUAAAUGAGAUAAAAGAGGCCUCAGGCAGGAUCUGGCAUAGAGGAGGUGAUCAGCAAAUGUUUGUUGAAAAGGUUUGACAGGUCAGUCCCUUCCCACCCCUCUUGCUUGUCUUACUUGUCUUAUUUAUUCUCCAACAGCACUCCAGGCAGCCCUUGUCCACGGGCUCUCCUUGCAUCAGCCAAGCUUCUUGAAAGGCCUGUCUACACUUGCUGUCUUCCUUCCUCACCUCCAAUUUCCUCUUCAACCCACUGCUUCCUGACUCGCUCUACUCCGUGGAAGCACGCUCACAAAGCAGGUUCCCAGUGCCCCCGACAAGCCCCUGCUGGUGUCUCCAUCUCCUGCCAAGCAUCCUCCAGUGCCUCCUCCUGUGGGCCUGGCCUCAGGGCUAUGGACAGACUCCUGUCCCAUCCCAGAGACCCCUCGUGAUCGUGCCCUGGCACGUGGGCCGUGGCCCGGCUGGGUCGGCUGAAGAACUGCGGAUGGAAGCUGCGGAAGAGGCCCUGAUGGGGCCCACCAUCCCGGACCCAAGUCUUCUUCCUGGCGGGCCUCUCGUCUCCUUCCUGGUUUGGGCGGAAGCCAUCACCUGGAUGCCUACGUGGGAAGG